rnacentral:ncRNA from 17 species
CUCUUAUCAAGAGUUGGUGGAGGGACUGGCCCGAUGAAGCCCGGCAACCAGCAGGUUUUUCCUGCAUGGUGCCAAUUCCUGCAGGGGAAACCCUGAAAGAUAAGAC